rnacentral:tRNA from 1 species
GGGCCUGUAGCUCAGUCUGUUCAGAGCACCCGGCUCUUAACCGGGGCGUCGCGGGUUCGAAUCCCUCCAGGCCCA